UACGUAGGGUGCGAGCGUUGUCCGGAAUUAUUGGGCGUAAAGAGCUCGUAGGCGGUCUGUCGCGUCUGCUGUGAAAACCCGGGGCUCAACCCCGGGCUUGCAGUGGAUACGGGCAGACUAGAGUUCGGUAGGGGAGACUGGAAUUCCUGGUGUAGCGGUGAAAUGCGCAGAUAUCAGGAGGAACACCGGUGGCGAAGGCGGGUCUCUGGGCCGAUACUGACGCUGAAGCACGAAAGCGUGGGGAGCAAACAGG
rnacentral:rRNA from 1 species